rnacentral:rRNA from 1 species
UACGUAGGGCGCGAGCGUUGUCCGGAAUCAUUGGGCGUAAAGGGUGCGUAGGCGGCGCGGUAAGUCGGGUGUGAAAUCUCGGAGCUUAACUCCGAAACUGCAUUCGAUACUGCCGUGCUUGAGGACUGGAGAGGAGACUGGAAUUUACGGUGUAGCGGUGAAAUGCGUAGAUAUCGUAAGGAAGACCAGUGGCGAAGGCGGGUCUCUGGACAGUUCCUGACGCUGAGGCACGAAGGCCAGGGGAGCAAACGGG